rnacentral:rRNA from 1 species
UCUGCAACUCGACUCCAUGAAGUCGGAAUCGCUAGUAAUCGUGGAUCAGAAUGCCACGGUGAAUACGUUCCCGGGCCUUGUACACACCGCCCGUCACACCAUGGGAGUGGGCUGCAAAAGAAGUAGGUAGUUUAACCUUCGGGGGGACGCUUACCACUUUGUGGUUCAUGACUGGGGUGAAGUCGUAACAAGGUAGCGCUAGGGGAACCUGGCGCUGGAUCACCUCCUUA